UAAUAGAUAUCGGAGCAACAGCUUUGCGUGAAGCGGGUCAGGGGAGGAAUCCAGCAGCCCUAAGCGAUGUAAGCUGUGUGCUCUAUUUUUUGUGUAAUAGU
rnacentral:SRP_RNA from 3 species